GCCGAAAUGAGAGGUCGAGAUUUUAUCAAAUUGGCUGUAUUAUUUCUCAUUAUUUACUCGAGUAGUGUGAACGCUUGGAACAGCAAAAACAACCAGAAGGAACAUAGAUCGAUACUAAAUUUCAGUGCGGCCCCCAAACUGUGGCACCUAGCUAUUGUCGCUCACGCUGCCGCCAUCAUCCUGAAAGUGAGCAUCUUAAUGGUAUUGCUAUUCUACGCUGGCAUCCAUCUAUACGUCGAUAAAGUUAUCCCUGGCAAAAACAUAGGACUGGAAGGCACAACUCCAUCGAACUGAACUGGAUAAAAAUCAUGACAUCAUGGCUGAUGACUCACGGCUUCAACAUCGCAUCAACUAUAUUCUCAUUAUUGCCCAUAAUUCAACUUGUUAAAUUGAAGGUUCUGAUGAUAGUGUGGCUUCUGGUAGGAAUGUAUCUAUACUGGGUGAAGCCACUUCAAUUCGAUCAAAUGCCAUCGACAAAUGUUGGUAACGGCACUUCAAUGAACA